CUGCCUUUUUUAAUGCAAGAGUGAGAGAGAAAGCUGGGCAUGCUGGCCCAGCACUGGGGAGGCAGAGGUAGGAGGAU
rnacentral:miRNA from 1 species